rnacentral:lncRNA from 1 species
GGGACUACAGGCGCCCGCCAUCACGCCCGGCUGCUUUUUUUGUUUUAGUAGAGAGGAGGUUUCACCGUGUUAGCCAGGAUGGUCUCAAUCUCCUGACCUCGUGAUCCGCCCGCCUCGGCCUCUCAAAGUGCUGGGAUUACACGCGUGAGCCACCGCGCCUGGCCUGAAGAAAUAGGAAGAAGAAAAGCUUUUUGAAUGAAUCACUUCUCAUCUUCUCCGAAGUUGGAAGCAUCAAGAAUCUAAAUAAGCAUUUAUGAUGGCUGGCAUGAAUAUGCGGAAGAUAGAAUGGGAGUCCUAGUUGACCUUCAUAUAAUUUUUAGAAGAUGGAGCACUUCAACUUCUUCCACUCAUGAAAAGAGAGGUGACAGGUGAAGACAGAACAAGAAAACAAACCAAGAAUUUCCCCUCACCAGCCACCAGCUCUGCCAGCAACUUGAUCUUAGACUUCCCAGCCUCCGUAACGUCUUCCUCCUAAAAACCUGUAACCUCAAUCUAAUCAUGAGAAAAGACAUCAGGCAAAUCCCAACUGAGGGAGAUUUUACAUAGUACCUGAGCAGUACUCCUCAAAACUGUCAAGGUCAUCAAAAACAAAGAAGUAUGAAAAACUGUCACAGCCAAGAGGAACUUAAGGAAACAUAAUAAUUAAAGCCUCUGCUUAUAAUCUGUCAUGGAUUGGAAAACUAGAAAAAACAGUUUACAGAGUAUAACAAACUUUGGAGGAGUUAAUCGACUCUAAGUAAAAGAGUAUCUAGCACGGCUGUGGAACAAAGGAGAGACUCACAAACUGUUGAAAGAAUAAAUGAAUGAAUGAAUUCUGUUCAUGAGCUUUAAUAAAACAGCUCUGAGUAGUAACAGUGGAUCAAAUUUAGGCUUCUUGAUGCAGGCAUGGUGUAGAUUACUACUUCUGUAUUGUCCCAGGAGCUCAGCACAUUCCUGCAGAGAUGAUAGGAGCUCAUCUGAUACUUGUCAGCUUUGAAUAAACUCCAGUCCCCAAGAGAGAGAAUGAGAAUCACCGGAAUACGAAACUUCCCUGUUGGACUUCCCAACAUUCUUGAAUGCACCAAGAUAGCCUCUUGCUGUGAGAUUAAUAAAUGAAUAAAUGCCUCCAUAUUUUUCAAAUCUGUGAAGUUAACAACAUGUAGAUUUUUUUGCAUAUUUAAAAACUGCAACUAAAUCUUAAUGCCUCUGAAGCAGAUGGAAGAAAAUAAUAGGCUUCCAUUAACUGUGUCAAAUUGUAUAGGUCUUGGCCAUCACUGGUCCUGUUGUGAUGAAGGUUUUUUGCCCUUGGAUAUAAUUUAAUUUUCAAUUCUUCUAAUUAUGGUACUUCAGAACAUCAAUAUUUGAGAUGAACUUCUCUAGUGUCAAGGACUGAUUUGAGUUGUGUAAACCCUGAAUAUCUGAGACAGGUCUCGAUUAUUUUAGAAAGUUUAUUUUGCCAAGGUUGAGGAUGUGUGCCUGUGACACGGCCUCGGGAGGUCCUGAGGACAUGUGCUCAAGGUGGUCAGAGCACAGCUUUGCUUUAUACAUUUUAGAGAGACAUGAGACAUCAACCGACAUAUGUAAGAUGAACAUUGGUUCCAUCUGGAAAGGCGAGACAACUUCAAACGAGGAGGGGGCUUCCAGGUCAUAGGUAGAUAAGAGACAAAUGGCUGCAUUCUUUUGAGUUUCUGAUUAGCCUUUCCAAAGGAGGCAAUUAGAGUGAGCAAAAUGAACAAAAUCAAUUAUUUUGAUUCUGAACAAAAUGGGAGGCUGGUUUUCCCUAAGCAGUUCCCAGCUUGACUUUUCCCUUUAGCUGAGGGAUUUGGGGGGCCCAAGAUUUAUUUUUCUUUCACCGUUGUAUCAAACUACACAGGCGGCCUUGGAAACCAUCACAGUUGAGAGUAGGUAACGCCCAUUUGUUGCAUAGUUUUGUGCUCCACACUCUUAUCUACAAAAUUAUGAAUUUUUUUACAUAUAUUAAUUUCAGAAAAACUAAAAAUAAAACAAAGUAGUUUCAAACUAGUAUUGUUUUUAUAUCUUAAAAAUAAAGCUUUAUAUACUCUCCUUAC